CUCUAUUUAAAAGAUGUAUAAAACAUUUCCAUAUCUGUUUUAAUAUUUAUUGAGACAAAGUGGUUAAAUGCCAAAUCUAAAUUAAUUAUAUGUUGUGUCGAGGCCUCAAGGAUAAUACAUGAUUAGCAUAUGUAUAACCACAUACUACUAUACUCUUCACGUAUUCCUCACAUUGCAGUUGUAACUACUACCGUACAAGAGCAGGACUGUGUUUUUUCAUUUUUUUUUCACGAUGAAAUUAACUGAUAUAGACCAGGGA
rnacentral:lncRNA from 1 species